UUCAGUUUUUCUGAAAGUGACGGGCGAUAUGUGCACAUAAAAUUAAUUUUUAAAAAUUUAAUAUUAUUCAAAAUUUUUAUUUUCAAAUCCUAUUUAAUUUUAAAUUUUUUUAAUAAACUAUAGAAAUUUUUAAUGUAUUCCACUUUUUCUUUUAUAUUAUUUUUGUCUUGAUUUGUUUUUUAAUUCAAAAAAAUUUUUAAUAGAAUAAUUAAUUUUUUUCUUUUUAAAACAAUGAUAUGAAAAAUAAUAAUAAAAGUACAUUAUAUCGUGGGCUAUCGAUUAUAUUACAGAAUCCUCUAAAUAUAUUUUAUGCCGCCAUUAAUAACAGUUUUUUCUUAUUUAGUUAAUCUCUUUUUUUUAUUUAAAA
rnacentral:rRNA from 1 species